UACGUAGGGUGCGAGCGUUAAUCGGAAUUACUGGGCGUAAAGCGUGCGCAGGCGGUUUUGUAAGCCAGAUGUGAAAUCCCCGGGCUUAACCUGGGAAUGGCAUUUGGGACUGCAAGGCUUGAGUGCGGCAGAGGAGACUAGAAUUCCUGGUGUAGCAGUGAAAUGCGUAGAUAUCAGGAGGAAUACCGAUGGCGAAGGCGGCCCCCUGGACCGGUACUGACGCUGAGGCGCGAAAGCGUGGGUAGCAAACGGG
rnacentral:rRNA from 1 species